GAAAACCUUACGAGGAUAAGACAAACGAAGGAUUGACAGAUUGAUCGCUCUUUCUUGAUUGUUUGGGUGGUGGUGCAUGGCCGUUCUUAGUUCGUGGAUUAAUUUGUCUGGUUAAUUCCGUUAACGAACGAGACCUUAACUUACUAAUUGGCACUCAAUAUUUAAAUAUUGAAUUCUAUUAGAAGGACCAUGUGUAUUUAACACAAGGAAGCGUGAGGCAAUAA
rnacentral:rRNA from 1 species